rnacentral:tRNA from 1 species
GGGCAUAUAGCUCAGCUGGUUAGAGCGUCUGCUCGACACGCAGAAGGUCUCCCGUUCGAGUCGGGAUAUGCCCACUA